GAGUUUGAUCUUGGCUCAGGAUGAACGCUGGCGGCGUGCUUAACACAUGCAAGUCGAACGAAGCGCCUUAUUUGAUUUUCUUCGGAACUGAAGAUUUGGUGACUGAGUGGCGGACGGGUGAGUAACGCGUGGGUAACCUGCCCUGUACAGGGGGAUAACAAUCAGAAAUGACUGCUAAUACCGCAUAAGACCACAGCACCGCAUGGUGCAGGGGUAAAAACUCCGGUGGUACAGGAUGGACCCGCGUCUGAUUAGCUGGUUGGUGAGGUAACGGCUCACCAAGGCGACGAUCAGUAGCCGGCUUGAGAGAGUGAACGGCCACAUUGGGACUGAGACACGGCCCAAACUCCUACGGGAGGCAGCAGUGGGGAAUAUUGCACAAUGGGGGAAACCCUGAUGCAGCAACGCCGCGUGAGUGAAGAAGUAUUUCGGUAUGUAAAGCUCUAUCAGCAGGGAAGAAAGUGACGGUACC
rnacentral:rRNA from 1 species